rnacentral:tRNA from 1 species
GUGGUGGAUCAGUGGUAGAGCACUUGCCUAGCAUGUGUGAGGCCCUGGGUUCGAUCCUCAGCACCACA